CUUGAGUUUUAAAAUAAGGUUAAUUUUGUAUAGAUCCCUGCAAAUAUAGUGAAUGAUAAAUAUAUCUUUAUAAGGUUUAACUUUCAUAUAUUGUCCCCACAAAGGUUCUGAUAUUUUCAAAUAUAUCCCUGUCUUUAGAAUCCGUUACAAAAAUUUAGUUCACCAUAUGUUAAAUACUUAAUUCUGAUUAGUUUUUAACAUUUUUAUCCCUUUAUAUUAUACUGUUAUGAUUUUUGGCGGAAUAUAUUUAUGAUAAUAAAAUAGAAAAUAUAAAUAAUUCUCUAACGGUAACAAACUAGAUAAAAAUAUUUGAAAACAUCAUGACUUUUCUAGGGACAACAUAUGAAAGUUGAACUUUAUAGAGAUAUAUUUGUCAUUCAAUAUAUUUAUAGGGACCUGUAUGAAAUUAACCGUUUUAAAAAUAUUAUACAUACUAUCAGCCCAG
rnacentral:lncRNA from 1 species